AAUAUUGGACAAUGGACGAAAGUCUGAUCCAGCGACGCCGCGUGGAGGAUUGAAGGCCUUCGGGUUGUAAACUCCUUUUAUGUGGGAAGAUUAUGACGGUACCACAAGAAUAAGCACCUGCUAACUACGUGCCAGAAGCCUCGGUAAUACGUAGGGUGCAAGCGUUAUCCGGAUUCAUUGGGCGUAAAGAGUUGCGUAGGCGGACUGUUACAUCUUGUUGUAAAGCCCACGGCUUAACCGUGGUCUCUGGCAGGAUAUGGGCAGACUAGAGAAAAAGAUAGGGUACUGGAACCGAUGGUGAAGCAGUGAAAUGCGUUGAUAUCAUCGGGAACACCAAAGGCGUAGGCAGGUACCUGGCUUUUUUCUGACGCUGAGGCACGAAAGCUAGGUUCGCGAAGCAGAUUAGAGACCUGCGUAGUCCUAGCCGUAAACUAUCCUUGCUAGAUACCGGGGGUUUCUUCGGUGUCGUAAGCUAACGCGUUAAGCAAGGCGCCUGGGGAGUACGAGCGCAAGCUUAAAACUCAAAGGAAUUGACGGGGAGGCGCACAAGCAGUGGAGCGUGUGGUUUAAUUCGAAACAAAGCGAAAAACCUCACCAGGGUUUGACAUGCAAUUGCUAAGCCUAUGAAAGUAGGCCUCCUUCGAGGGUAUUGCACAGAUGCUGCAUGGCUGUCGUCAGCUCGUGGCGUGGGAUCUGGAAAAAGAUCAAUCGCGCCCGUUGACAGCAAUGUCAAAUGGAAAAUUCGGCUCAUAUCGGUGAAUCUAUUUAUAUUCGGGUUUAUUUCGGAUAUAAUUGAAAUACCGAGGGAAGUCGGGAAGAAUGAUUUUCACUGCUCGUAAGAACUUAAAGCUUGAAGUUUCCAACAGACAAGUAGAAAUCUUAAUUG
rnacentral:ncRNA from 1 species